AGUGUGCUUGCCAGGCGUUUGAUUGCUCAUGAGGCGAGUCCACAAUGCAGCGUCAGGUGUGUGUGUGUGUGUGUGUGUGUGUGUGUGUGUGUGUGUGACAGCUGUCAAGGGGAAAAGGUAAUACGGCUUAAUUAUGAAUCUCUCUCUCUCUCUCUCUCUCUCUCUCUCUCUCUCUCUCUCUCUCUCUCUCUCUCUCUCUCUCUCUCUCUCUCUCUCUCUCUCUCUUUCACAAGCCAGGCGUCCAGCAAAUCCCAGCUUAUCACCUGGGCUUGAAGGGCAGAGGCCGCACCGCGCCGCCACCACUCACGCUGCAGGUUCCAAUAUUAUUCUGUGUGGGCGCCACGCAUCUUACCGCCUUCCAACCAUCAAAUUUUGCCUGCUGUUUCACUCACAUCACGUUAAGGUGCCUUUAUUAACGGCAGAAAGCGGUGUCUUAUUAUUCAGUAGGCCUUCAUUAUUAUUCAGUGGCACUUUUUUUAAUUUUUCAGUGGGCGCCUAUUAUUAAAUUUUUUUCCCCCUUCACCGGUGGGCCUACUACAUAGAAAAAAAUAAUAAACAUCGCUUUCUUCGGGUGUUACGUCCAGUUCUCCAUAAACACAAUUUUUUCCUCAUUACGUCUCGCACUAGGUCACGUGAUGCUUCGUCUGAAAGUGUCGUGACUCUUAUUCUUAAAUAUUUUUUUCUCUUUCCUAUAAAAGCUAUCUUCAAAUGCAUCAAAAAUAACUGACGUCUUUUAUUCUCAAUUCAUGGUAAAUAAUCCUUCUUUUUUUUUUCAAAGAUUUUUAGGAAUUUGAUUACUUUUAUAUACCUUUGUUCAUGAUUCACGUUCUUCUCUUAUAAUACUGAAUACUGAGUAACUGGCCGGGCAUGAGGCAACGAGCAGGGUGAUGUGCUUCGUCGCAGGAGUGAAGGCAGGUGGUGUUUCCCGCCGUAAGCAUCAGGUGUUGCUGACAGGCGCUCAUUGUCAUCCGCGCUCAGUGCCAACCCAUCGUAUUUCAGAGCGACUCCUCAAUCCGACCGGGGACUCCAGGGCGCCUCACAACAGGAAUGACUUGUGUGGAUCAUGAGUAUUGCUGUAUCAACCUGCACCUGGAAGGGCAGGAUGGAGGGGCCAGCCAUCCAGACUUCCAGGAGUGGGCUUAAAGAACGACCAUCCCAACUUCCAGGCCAACCAUCCAGACCUACCUAAGUCUACAGACCCUCCAAGAAUAACUCUAUAGGCCAAUUACCUAAGCCUUUAUUGGUAGGCCUAUAUGUCCCCAUCUAAAAACUACGACUUUUACUACUAUUAUUACUACUACCAACUACUACUAUUACUACUACUCCUACUACUAGAACCGCUACGCUGCUCUUACUACUGCUACUACUACUACUACUCCUACUACUAGAACCGCUACGCUGUUACUACUACUACUACUACUACUACUAGAACCGCUACGCUGCUAUUACUACUGCUACUACUACUAUUACUACUACUACUACUAGAACAGCUACUACUACUACUACUACUACUACUAUUACUGCUACUACUACAACAACAAACACUUUCUACCAAUACUACUAGAACCGCUACUACUACUGCUGCUACUACUACAACUACUACUACUACUACUAUUACUUUUAUUGUCUAUUCUCAGUUAGCCAUGAGCCGAUUAAAAGAAGGAUGAAUAACUAAAAAAAAAAAAAAAAUAACAACAAAAACACGAAAAAAAAAAUAUAUAAGUAAUAAAGUAACUCACUAAUAAAGACAAAUUCACAGCUCAUUGUAAUUUAUAUUGAGUAUGAAAUCUGUAUAUUACCUCAAGAAUAACAAUAUCACGUACCUACACAUGAAGUAUUCCGUCAAGGCAGCAACACCCAUAUAAAUAAAUACUGUAUUUAGUGACGCAUACAAAAUACAGAAAGAUUAUCAAGAAUAUUAGCGUAAAAGACUCAGUACUAUAUAAACAAGUCUACUAUUGCUCGUCUAAAGUAGAGUUAUUUGAAUCGAUAUCAGUUCUACGAGGUUUCCAGAGAGAGAGAGAGAGAGAGAGAGAGAGAGAGAGAGAGAGAGAGAGAGAGAGAGAGAGAGAGAGAGAGAGAGA